UGUUACAAUUUAACGCCUAUUACAGGAUCUGAUUAAGCAAAUGGAAAUGACUUAACAAGUUGUCCCACAUGUCUGCCUAAAUACUUACUCCGGUGGUAGCAUUUACUGUGCCCUGACUGGUAGAUCUGGCUGUGCAGGUGGCACUUUGCUCUUUCAUGCUUGGUCUUUCAUUGGGGUGGAACUGAGUGCAGAGAGACUCCACUACUACCUUUUUUGGGCCACCAGCAAGGAGCGGGUGAGCAGAGGAUGUGAAAAGCAGCACCAUGCACAUUGAGUCCAUAAUUAAGACAAUGGGGGACAGAGGCCCCAGCUGUGAUGUGCAAACAGAGACCUUCAUGUGUCAGACAAGAGAGGGAUGUGUGAGAGAACACAAGUUAAGACUGAUACAGUAUUGAUCAGUGUACUGGGUGUCAGUCUGUGUAUAUUAGUAUCUUUUUACAUCUUUUGGAGCCAUGUCAGAAGAAAGAAAAAAGAUUAAGGUACCUCUCUGACAGCAACUGAAGUAUCAAAGCAGCAUCGAGUGACUCUGUCCCGUUCCCACAGUAACAGGCAUCUUAUUUUCUACCCCUGCUUGUUGUGGGUGGCCAUGGCUUUCACGUCAGAAAUCCCUUGCUCCUGGUCUCUGUUAGCAGUUUUAGCAGUGAGACAGACAAGUGAUCCUAUUCCUGACAGAUAGUGGGACCCGCAUAAUUGGAAAUAAAUGAAAAAACAGACAGGGAUAUAAAAAUUAAGUAGCUUUAAGAUGAAUAUUUAUUUUCAGCAGUUGAGGAGGAGCUCAGAGUGACCAGAUAGCAUCUGCUGAGAAAUAGGAGGAUUUUCUCUGCAUUUUAGGAAGGGGAAAAUCUACAAAGCAAAAGUGAACUGUUGUGCACCCCAGUUCACAAUACAGUGGUGAGAAAAAAGCCAUACUGUGUUUUCUCUCACACAUCUUGGGAUUCAAAUGGACAGGUAAUUUGGCAGUAAGAGACUCCAUGGCUGGUGUCAAGCACAGCUGCUUUGUCAUCUUUUGGGGGUGAAUAAGCCAGUUGCAUUCUGUGUGCCUGGCAGGCUUCUCCUGAAGGGUUCAGGGCAGGUGUAACCUUCCCCACAUCCAGGCUCAUGACACCAGGUGAGCUAUGCAGCCAUAAAGGUGCAGUGAGUGGCAGCUAUCCUAGGUGUCAGGACAUCCUCAGAAGGAAAUGGGAAUCAAUCACAGUGUUGUUGCAAGGUACAGGCCACACAAUUAAUUCCUCCUGUGGUAUAGAUGCCUUUCAUGCUGAUGCAGCUGAGAUGUCCCCAGUGCAUCUGUGUUGACAGCAGCAUCCUAGAUUAGCCCAAUUGAUCUGGGCUUUUCUAUUCCGGGGUAUUUCUCCCUUUUGCACCAGGCAGGCUGGUAACAGGAGCUGGGAACACCUCUGCUAUUGGUGUCCUGUCCUCCUGGCCUGCCUCUGCCCCAGCUAGACAAGUGGGUGAGAACAGCUUUUAGGAUGCUGACAGGCCAAGCACCUUUGUGUAGGGCUUUCAGAGGUGCUGCUGGAAACAAGAUGAUGCAGGGCAUGAAAGGGCAGCAGAAACCUCUCUGCCAUCUCCCUGCGGCCAGGCCAUGCAGCAGCUGAGGUGUUAGUGGGGACGAUGGCAGUGGCAGAGAGUUCAUGGCCGUUUUCUCUUCCUGUUGAGUAAAGCACGGUAAGAGCAAUGAGCUCCCUCCCCAGCUCUCUGCUGCGAGCAGCACAGACACCCUUCCUGCAGCCCGUUCAUUACCAUCUCCUUACCUCCACACCUGUUUGAUAUUACAUAUUCAGUUUGGAAAUACCGUCCUUUUUGUCCCCUUUUGCACCAUCUGUUGACACAGUCCCGCGCGUGUGUCUGGGUAAGAUCCAGCUGGCACACGCAGGAGGUGAACGCAUUCACGUCUCCUGAAAUUGCUGAUUCAGGGAGGGGAGGCGGGGGACACGCACACGCUCCAGAGCCCCGCGCCCCGAGAGCGCCGCAGCUGAGGGGCCUGUCAUCGCCCUGUGCCAUAGUGCCAGGCGUUAUCGAUGCACAGCCAUCCUUUCACCCGCGCUGCCCUCCCCGCGCCCCCGACGUGCCUGCUGCAAUCGGGGAACAAUGGCAGAGGCAGAGUGCCCGGCACAAAGACAACAGCUGCACUCCCGGGUCGGGCUCGGCGGCCUCCCCGCACAAUGGCCGUGUGUAACCCCAUCCCGCCGCCCGCCUCGGAAUAAUUUAUUUAUAGAUGCAAUAUCUCUUUCACUGGCCUAUUUAAGAAUGUCUUCUCAUAAAUGCAUGGAAAUUGAAAUUAUUCUCUGCUUUUCCCCAAAAAGAUUAAGGUAUCUGUUCCUUAUAGAUAAAUAGCGCAGUUUUGGAGGGGAAAAGGGAGAAAAGCCGUUGGAAUACAUGCAAUAAGGGAUGAGGAGAAGUUGAUUAAUUGUGAAGUGUGCACUUUUUAAAAUUAAAUAUUUUUCAUUAUUAGUGUCUUUGCAAUAAUAGGCAUGUGUUUAAAAAUAGGAAAGAAAUAUUGAAGUCAGGAAAAAAACCAAAACCCUCCGAGGCGAUGAAUGCUAGUCUUUCCUCUGCGAGGGAUGACUGGUUGCCUCUUUGGUAAUAAAACCUCUUUCACCCUCACAGACUGUAAGCAUGAGCAUCUGCUUAGGACAGAGAAUAUUCUACCAUCCAGGAGACAAUGAAUCAUCUCUCACAUGAAAAUAUGGUUGGUUCAGCACACUGCUUGCUUCUCUUAAAUACUGCAUGUGCAGCCUAUGCAUCAUCUAAAUGUGUAGUGUAACACAAGAUCAGAAAUGGGGACAGUCUCAGAUCGCUAAAAAGAACUAAAACCAGUAAAAAGUUUCAAUACCCUCCAUAUUUUAAUAAUAUCUCUUUAAUGAAUUUUUCUGUUAUUUUCACUACAAUCAAGUUUCAUUUUAUUUGUCUAAAUCCUGAUCUGUGAAUGCAAACAAGUAGUAGCUUGGUGACAGCACUUUCCUGUGUUAAAGGAGUUGCUUUAAGGAUCAAGAAAUUGGAGCGCUUCAUCCAUCCACAUUUGGUGUGUGUGUGAACAAAUCUGUGUAAAGAAAAUGUGACAAGACAGUCUCCAAAUACGAAAAAGCCCUGGUGCUGCUAAACGCUCUCCAGACACCUCCAUCAGAUUUAAAAGCCAACCUAAGGCUCCUCAUGAUAUGAAACACACUUUAUUGGUCCCUC